rnacentral:rRNA from 1 species
UACGUAGGUGGCAAGCGUUGUCCGGAAUUAUUGGGCGUAAAGCGCGCGCAGGCGGUCUUUUAAGUCUGAUGUGAAAGCCCACGGCUCAACCGUGGAGGGUCAUUGGAAACUGGGAGACUUGAGUGCAGAAGAGGAGAGUGGAAUUCCACGUGUAGCGGUGAAAUGCGUAGAGAUGUGGAGGAACACCAGUGGCGAAGGCGACUCUUUGGUCUGUAACUGACGCUGAGGCGCGAAAGCGUGGGGAGCAAACAGG